rnacentral:rRNA from 1 species
GUAAAGAGUUCGUAGGCGGUUUAUCGUGUCGGGUGUGAAAACUCAGGGCUUAACCCUGAGCUUGCACUCGAUACGGGUUUACUUGAGGACGGCAGGGGAGAGUGGAACUCCUGGUGUAGCGGUGGAAUGCGCAGAUAUCAGGAAGAACACCAAUGGCGAAGGCAGGUCUCUGGGCCGAUUCUGACGCUGAGGAACGAAAGCGUGGGGAGCAAACAGGAUUAGAUACCCUGGUAGUCCACGCCGUAAACGAUGGAUGCUAGGUGUGGGAGACAUUAACGUUUUCUGCGCCGCAGCUAACGCAUUAAGCAUCCCGCCGGGGGAGUACGGCCGCAAGGCUAAAACUCAAAGGAAUUGAC